AUGUCGGCGACCUCCAUCUUCUUCUCUGCCAUCGCUAUCAUGCUCCUUUCCACUACCAUCGCUGCCGAAUCUAGUGCCUCUGGUGGGGCCAAACCCAAGGUAACCAACUUCAUGGUGGAAGCAUGCAAGAAUGCCUCAAUGAAAAACAAAAUAUACGACCCCAACCCAAUCACGCAGGAGUUUUGCGUGUCGACCCUCAUGUUGGACAAUCGGAGUGCCGAGGCUAAGGAUCUCCAUAGCUUGAUACACAUCGCCAUCGACAUACUCAAGGGCCAAGUUGUUGCGGCGAAUGGUAAUGUCAAACAAAUGCUGCAAGACACCAAGAAUGGCACGGCUACAAUGCGUGCCCUCAGUUACUGCAUGGUGGACUACGAUCGAAUGGUGAGCAUACUCAACAUAUGUGACACAAUGAUAAAGGAGUACCAUGGUCGCAAGGGCGGAGCCAAUGAUGGGUUGCUGUCUUCUGAGCUGCCUGCCUGUGUGGAGAGAGUGGACAAACCUUUCAUCGACUGUUGGUUGGGCCUUCUUGCUAUGGAGGCGAAAAAGUUGUUGGAUGAAAACUUUGCGGUGGGCAUGUCGGUCACACUUAACUUUUGCCUUGCUAGCACCAUAUAG
rnacentral:rRNA from 1 species